UUGCCUUUUUCUUUUCAUCAACCUUGGUGACUAUCAGUGUCAAAGAAAGCUUAAUUCUUCGUUCUGUUUUUAUUUGUCUCUUUAAAGGUUUGUAAAUUUUUUUUCUAUCGACCUUAUUCAACCAUGUAAAUGGAAAAUUUAUGUUAAAAUUCUUCCAUGCAUAGUAGGUACAAAGUGGUUGAGAUAGUUCACAAAAAUGUUAUGGAUGGCUUCUUGUGAUUUAAUAUUGGAGUCCAUAAUAUCUCUACACUCCAGAUCGCGUAGAACUAACUAGAUUGCUCAUUAUUUUCCCGAGCUUGUUGUUUUUGAAACGCUGGACGAUGCUGACAUUUGUGUUGCGUUCGCAGGUUAUGAAAUGGAUGAACAGGCUCCUGAUUCUAAUUACUUGCGGCUGCAGUUUUAUCAGUUCCCGGAUCCCAGGUCAAGACCUGGCCGUAACAAGGGGUGAUAGGCAUUAGGUGAUGAGAAACAUCCGUGUUGAUGUAAUCAAGAUUGCAUUUGCUCUUAUACAUUAUAUAUAUUGCUCAGGCUUGGGCACACACUAAUUGUAAGCACUUCUGAUGCACAUUGUUGUUCUAGGUAGUGAAAUCAGAAACAGUUUUAUAGUUGUGUUGAACGAUCUGAUUUUGCACGUCCAUGGUCUACAAUUUACUCAAGGAAUGUUUUAAUUCUGAAUUGAGAUUGUACUGUGCAUAGACUACCGCAAAAUUAGUACAGAGAUAGUUUCCCUAUAGAUUGUUUUCAUAUACUAGAGGACUUCCAUGGCCAGGGUAUCUUGCCACCAUAUUGUCCCCGUACAUUUUCCCUCCAUAUUAGUUAUAUAUUUAUCUGGACAUUCUAACCUAAUGAAGUCCUACAAUCAUCAUAACUCAUUUUACUUAGCUCAUGCUCCUUACAAUAUUUGAUGAACUCACAUAAGAAACUCAUAGAAAUUUGUUCCCAGUCAUUACCUUUGGACUGCAGUUGAAGCUUAUGAUACAUCCUCCCAAUGCUAAGCACUAGCUAGUGGGUUGUCGACUAAUCUAUGCCACCGUACACAUCGCAGGGGCUUUGAACUCUGUCUCAAUUAUUGUAAAGACGUUAGCCUCUUCAAUGAAAGAACCCAUAGUCCUAUGCUGCUAGAGCUCCCCCCACCCUUCUUGGAAUUAAUAUAGUGUUAGGACAUAUCGCUCUAUUUCUCACAUCACGUGACUAAUGAUUUCUUUGAAGUUACUUCUUUAGGAAACACUUAUACUACAAGUGCUUUUAUUAUAUAGAAUCUUUAUAAGCAAUCCAAGUGUUCAUUGAAAACGUAUUUGAAAGUGCUUCUUGAAAAAGCAUUUGGCAAGUGCUUCUUGAAAAAGCAUUUGGCAAGUGCUUCUAUAAAAGAGCUUAUUGGGUCAAAAGAAUUUCUAAGUUUUUUUUUCUGCCAAGCACAACAGAAUACACAUUUUAGCUUUUUCCAGAACCAAUCCCAGACAAGUUCUAAGCAAAGAAAGGGCGAUACAGCCUGAAGACAACGGAGAAUUUCCCUGACGUUAAAGGUUUUGUUUGUUCGGUCACUAAACCCAAAAAAAUAGAAAACUUGAAGUGGGCAAUGAAUUGGUUUUCGAUUUCCAUUAAAUUGGCACAACAUUCGGCAUUGUUAUGCAAAAAUAUACUUUUUUCUUAUCAUUAGUUUUACACACACUCUAGUCUGUGGUAUAAAAUGAGCUAGGGUUUGGUUGGAGAACAAGUCUACGUGGUAUCAUCACUUACAUUACAUGCCAUGUGGGCUGGAGGGUUUCAUUUGGUGCCAUUACUCCUUUUUCUGUUCUAUAAUCAUUUUGGAACUGGAAGAGAAAGUGGAGGGGAAAAGGUAGUUUAGGGCAAAAAUUUUCCAAUCAAUUUUUUGGCAGUGUGACUGUUUUCGAAAUAUAGAGUAGUUGUGGCAAAAAAGAAAAAGGAAAGGGGUAAUUGUACAUACACAUUGUUCCAAAGGGUCAGUUGUCCCACAACUUGUCAAGGGACCAGAGCAUUAAGUUGUAGCUGCAAGUGCAAGGAGAAAGUUGUGGAUUAGAUAGACCAAUGGAUUUGGUUUGGUUUAAUUCCAAGUCAUCGUCGUUUCUUCUUCUAUGUGGCCCAGCCGCCCAGGACUUUAGUCCUUAUUUGGCAGGUACUUAUUACAAGGUUAGAUAAAGGGAGAUGAUACAUGGAGAACGGUUUGCCAAGUUUGUUAGAGUGGAUCCGGAUCCAUGAGUGUUGGAUCUCUAGUAAUUGAAUCUUUAGUUAAAGAUUCAAUGUCUCAACGAUCUAUGCUAUACAUUUGUCUUUACGAAUUUUCAUUCAUUGUGUAUUACAUAAUAUUCUUGACCCUCUUAUAUGUGACUUCGGCCGACUUCUAUCACCCGAUAUCGUUGUGUAAUAACUUGAUGAGAUAGCCAAUGCUUAGGUCAUCUUCAAUGGAGAUGGCUAAAGGUCAAAAAGCUAAAAAAUAGUAUGAUUUGUUCAAAAACUCAUCUCCAACCAAUGUCAGAGCUAUAAUUAUAUGGAGCCCACCAUGCCAUUAUUUGGCUAGUGCCCCUUUCUUAGCCCCUUUUUGGGGCCUAGCUCCUCGAUUAUGCCAUCUGCAAUGAAGAGGGCUAAAUGUCUAAAAGCCAAAAAAUGACAUGAUUUACCCAAAAACUCAUCUCCAACCAAUAGCUAGGUUAUAAUUCUAUGGAUUCAACAGUUAGAUUUGGAAACAUCCAAUGUUAGUUUAAUUAAAUUAAAGUAUAAACUUAAAACUAAUAAAUUAUUAGGGAGCCUAUGUUUUAGCCCUUUCGGUUGGAGAUGGUAUAUGAGUAUGGCCGACACUAUUCAUUUAAAAAUAAUUUUUUUGUUGGGUUAUAAUUUUGGAUGAGGCUAUGUCUAGCCCUUUUGGUUGGAGAUGACCUUACAAUGAUUAAUUCAAAUUCAAUGGUUAAAUUUGAAAAUAUCCAACAAAACAUCCAACAGUAGUUUAAUUAAAUUAAUCAAUAAUUUUAAGUAUAAACUCAGAACUAAUAAAUUAUUGAGGGAGUUAUGUUUAGCCUUUUCGGUUGGAAAUGAUAUAUGAGUAUGGCCUAAUACUGUUUAUUAAAAAAAAAAUCUUUAGUUAUCUCUGCUAAUCAAUAAAACACUCAUUGUCAACCAAAAUCCUAUGAAAUUACCAGUUUAACCUUCUAAUUAAAACAAAACAUGAAUAAGAAAUAUGGGGCGGAAAUUUAAUUUUACACAAACAAAAUUUGUUGUUUUUUUUUUUCAAAACUUCAUCUAUAUAUAAUUCUAACAUAUCUCUAAUUAUAAAAUAAAUAAAAAAUAAAAAUAAAAACUUCCUACUCCCACAUUCUCUAUCACUCCCUUCCUCUCUUCUUUUAUUUUAAAACAAAAAAAAAAAUUUCACAUACUUUAUAUAUGCCCAUAUGCUAGUAAUUAUAAACGAAACUAUAUUUAACUAUUUCGUUGAAAAUGACCGUACGAGUAUGUAAAUUUUGAAAUGUGAGUUGUCGUUCACUACGCAAGCAAAGAUCGAAAGCCUUCAUGUACCGAGGGGUCCCACUCCUUGAAUCAGAAUAAAAGUGCUUUGAAAAAGUCCCUUUAAUUAUGUCCAAGUUUGGAUAAAAUUUGUCCAUGCAUGGCAUGCACUCACUGACUGAUCUCGUCGUCCUGAAGGGUAAGAGAGGUAAAUUCCAGAAUAACCCACGAGGCACUGUAUGAAGCCUGUCAAUUACAUCAACUCAUCAAGCUUUCAAUCUUUUCAUGGCAUGCCUAACUUCUGUGAAAUAUGCUCAACAUUUAACAUUUUGUAAACCAAAAAGAGAGUAAGAGAGAGAUGAUUGAAGUAAUAAAGUAAAAGCGAAAUGCAUGCAUUGAUAAAAGGAAAUUUUAACAAAAAAAAUUUCGGUACUGUUUACUUUAACAAAAAAUUAUAUUUUUACAUUAAAAAGUCAAUUCUAAUACUAUUCAUUUUACCCUUUAUUUGUUCUUUAUUGUUAAAAAUCAAAUUUUUCAAUCCAUUUUUAUUAGUUUUCCUUUGAUAAAAGGAGAAAGAUGCAUGGAGAACUGGUUUUUUAUUUUAUUAUUAUUUUUUUUACAAACAAUAAUAUUAGAGUGGAUUAAGUUAUUAGCUGUUAGCGAGAAGAGGAUCAAUAAUAAUCAAACUAGCACCCGGAUGUAUAAGCAUAAUUGUUUUCUAAAAUUGCAAUAAAACGUCACUUUCCAUAUAUAUAUAUAUAAAAAAAAAAAACUUAUUGUUCCUUGUAUGAUGGAUUGCAAUCUCAAUAUCGUUCUUAAUGGAACGGCCACAAUUAGUUGUUCAGGACAUAAACAAUAUGUAUUGUCUUUAUAUUUAGGAAAUUGGCUCUGUUAGCCUUAUUACAAACCCAACAAUUAAAAAUACUCCCAAAUUAUAAUCUCUAUUAGCCCUCUUUUCCUUAAAUACCACUAACUUGAAAGAUGAACUGUUAUUCUAUGUCUCGACGUUGGAUCUCGAUGGCAUCCAAAAGGGCCUCUCAACUCCCUUCCGACUGUAUCUCGACUGAAUCACGACGGCAUCUCAACGGCACAGAACUGAAUUACCCUUAUAUUUAUGAGUUGAUCAGACACUCCAAUUAAAUAAAAAUAACUAUAAUUAUGUCAAAAUUAUUUAGUCAGUCUCACGUAUAUAUAAUUAAUUCAUCAAACACAUAAACAAAAAAGUUCUUGUAUGUAUGCUAUACUUUGAUUUGUCUCAACAAGAAAUGACUCAGUCAUCUUUUUAUCUAUGUCCAUUGAGUUUAUGGAGGGCAACAUAUUGAGAUCUCAAAAAUCUUAUUCUCAUACAACACACUUUUUUUUUUGAACAAACGAUAUUAUCUACACUAAGGGAAAAUGGGUGGCCUAAACCUCACAAUGGGCUAGCAAUAAUGUGGUUCAAAUUCACAUUUGGCGAGAAUCAAACCUAAGACCUCUCACUGACAAGUGAAGAAGAAUAUCACUAGACCGUAGUCCUAAAAAAAAUAUAGAUCUUAUAGUCUUGCAGUGUUUUAGAUUAGCUAAAACGUUGGUAUCCAUAUUAACUUACCAAAAAAAAUAUGUUGAAUUUGCUACACCUGGAAUUUGUAGCAGAUUUGUCAUUUUAUAAAGGGGUUUUUAACUCAUUUAAAAAAAAAGAAGGGGUUUUUAACUUUAAUUCUUAAAAAAAAUUGAAAUUUAAUAAAAAUCGGAUGUUAGAUUACAUAUUAAUUAUUGUCCUUUAAUGUGUUAUUAACUCAAAUUAAUUAAUGUGUAUUUUAUUCAAUAUCUCACAUUAAAUAUUUGAAUUUAUGAAAAUGAAAAUUAUAAUAAAAUAUAAUUAAUAUAUCAAAAUUAGAAAGAAAAAGAGAAAUAAUUAAAACAUCAAAAUAUAAUUAAUAAAUGAAGUAAUUAACAUAUCAAGAGACUAAAAUUAGAUUUUAAUUUUACUCAUGUUUUUAAUUUAAAGUUAUUUUUAUCAAAAAUUAAAAUGAAGUUUCCUAUUUUGUAAAUUACAACGAUGAAAAAUGACGCGUUGCACGUAAGAAACAACAUCUAUAUUUUCUCUUUUGUUUAAUAUGCCAUCAAACAUAUCCAUCACAUUUUAAAUUUUGUGGAAGUCCCUCUCUCACAUUGAUAAAGUCUGGUUUGUGUUGGACAGCUGUCCAACAGACAACCCAAAAAUCUUCCAAAAACCAACAAACAUUUCUGACCAGUCAUGCAUACGUAUGCAUGGACCCAAUGGCAUAUAAUCAAAAAUUUUAAAUAAUGGGAUCGUAAUGUCAACUUAAAAAAAAGUUUCAUUAAGCUAUUUCAUCGAACAUUUAGUAAGCAAUUGUCAAUUCUUGUCAACAAUGCCAAAAGUUUAUGUUAAAAUAUAUCAACUACGAUAAUUUGUAGAGGCUUGUCGAGAGUGAUGUAGGAUACUACGAAGUAAUAUUGAGAACUCUUAAAGCUUUUCAACUAAAGUAUUUUAUAUAAAAAGAGAGAAAAGAAAAACAAAUAUGAUAGAAGAAAAUAGAAGAAGUAAGAAGAUGAGGUUGUAAGUUAGUUUGCUUUAGCUAUUUAUAAUGGUCAAAUAAAAUAUACAAACAAAUAUACAUGAGAUUUUUAAAGUUGUUGAGAUCAAGGAUAAUCAAUGAUCCCAUUCUAGUUUUGCCAUUGCAUGGGCCGGAUAGGGAUAUGGCUAAAAUAUAAUUCUAUUAAUUGCGUUUUGGGACUUUGUCUAACAACUUGGCUCUCUCUUGACUUGGAUGCCAUGGAUGGCUCAUGCAGUUUACUAAAACUAGUAAUGUACAAUUUUCAGAGACUAUUAAUUAUCAUCUAUCAGGAAAAUUUGAUUUCCAUGCUUGCCCUUUCACGUCGGUGACUUGGAGAUAAUAUUGUUUCUUGUCCGGAGAUGAAAUAAAAUAAAAAGACUUGCACGAUCAUACUGCAUUAUAUAUAUUACACUAUAUAGUCUAUGUUGGGAGUUAUAUAUUAGUUAAAGUAUAAAUAGUAGUCUGUUAUCCUAUAUUGAUGAAGUGCAUAUGUAAUACAAAUUGUAAUUCCUAUAUAUACUCCAUUUUGGAGAUUAAUGAAUAUAUGAGAAAUUCUCAAAUAUUAUCAUAUAUAUUUUUGGUAUUUACCAUGUUUAGUUUAAUAUAGCAUCAAAGCAGUUCGCUCUUGGUGACCUGUGUGCUUUAAUUUUGUGCCCCACAUUUGUCAUGAUUUCCUUCGUCUUGAAAAAAAAAAAGGAAAGUAAAUAGUGUUGCACUACAGUACAAACAGUGCGUAAACAGUGGUAUGCUACAGUGUUCAUGAACAAUAUUUUGCUACAGUGCCAUUAACAGUGAUCUACUACAUCACUUGAACAGUGAUGUGCUACAGUAUUAUGGUAAAUUGUUUUCAUUCCGCUGCCUAUCUUUUGUGCCUUUAUUGUUUGUGAUUUAAUUCAAUGGCUCAGUAUAAUCAUAAUGUUGUUAUGCAUCUUGGUGGAACAAAUAAAUGGAUAAUUGAUACUGGGACCACUAAUCAUGUGACUAGUGACCCUAGAAUGUUUGAUGAGUUAUGUGACUAUAUUCUUGAUCCGUAUAUUACUAGUGCAAAUGGAGCACAUUCCCCCGUGAAUGUUGAAGGCAUUAUCUCUCUUACUUCGACCUUAUCACUGGUCCAUACUUUACUUGUUCCUGAUGUUAAGUGCAAUCUUUUGUCGGUAGAAAAACUACUUGAUACUUUAUAUUGUUUUGCUCACUUCUACCCUACGUAUUGUUAUUUUCAAGACAUUCAAACUCAGAAAGUAAUUGGUCAUGGUAAAAGAAUAGAGGGUUGUACAUCUUGACUAUGGAGGAUACUGUUGUUUCCGGUUCAAAUAAUCAUCAAGUUUUAAGUGCUAAAGUGGAUGACAUACAUCAAAUUUGGUUGUGGCAUUGGCGAUUAGGACGUCUAUCAUUCAGUUAUAUGAAGCAUCUAUUUCCUGCUUUGUUUCGCAUUUGUAGUGAUUCAUAAUUCAAGUGUGAAGCAUGUGUCAUGGCUAAGAGUCAUCGUGCUUCCUUUCCCAUAAGUGAUUCUAAAGCUACUUUGCCAUUUGAUUUAAUACAUUCUGAUGUGUGAGGUCCGGCAAAUGUUACUUCUAAUGAAUUUCGUUGGUUUGUUACUUUUAUUGAUGAUUGUACUCGAUUAACUUAGGUGUUAUUGAUGAAGAAUAAGAGUGAUGUUCAUUUGCUUCUUCAAGAAUUUUGUGCAAUGGUGUAUACUCAGUUUCAGACCAAAGUUAAGGUUUUCAGGUUUGAUAAUAGAGGAGAAUAUGUGAAUCACACUUUGACAUGCUUUUUUCGUGAUCAGGGUAUUAUUCACCAGACGACUACUUUGUUUACACCCCAACAAAAUGGUGUGUCAGAACAGAAGAAUCGUCAAAUAAUGGAGGUUGCUCACUCAUUGAUGUUGGAUAAAUGUGUUCCUAAUCAUUUAUGGGGUCAUGUUGUUUUGGCUGUUGUAUAUUUGAUAAAUCGUGUUCUAAGUAGGGUUCUUGAUUUUCAGACACCACUUGAUGUGUUACAAAAGCAUGUUUAUCUUGUUUCUGUAUCAAAACUUCCUCCGAAGGUGUUUGGGUGUAUUGCGUAUGUGUAUGUCUACUCUUAUCAGCGGAGUAAACUUGAUGCAUGUGUUCUUCGAUGUGUAUUUAGUAGGUAUGCUAACAAUCAGAAAGGCUAUAAGUGUUAUCAUCCUCCGACUCAUAAAACUUAUAUUACCAUGGAUGUCACUUUCCACGAGGAAGUUUCGUAUUUUGUGAAGCCAUCUUCCGACUCUCCACUUCAGGGGAAAAAAGGGAGUGAAGUGCAUAUUUGAAGAGAUGGUAUGGAUGAUGUGUUACAGGCAGAGUUGGGGAUAGAACCUAUUAUGUUGCGUGAUACUGAUCAGUCGGUUAUAGAUAGUGAUCUGUCACCUAUUAUUCCUAAAACUAUUUUUACUGACGACAGAUUAGAUGUGCCCAACGAGUUGCUUGUCAGUAUGUCUGACGAAUUACUUUCUGAUGACCGAUUGCUUGCUUCUGGUAUGUCUAACGAGCUGCCUGAUGAUGGUUAGUUCAGUGAUGGUUCAUCCAGUGAUGAUUCUUUUAACAAUUUGGUACAAGAUAAUGACAUACAUGAGUUAAAUUCUGACGAUUCUUCUAUUUAUUAGUUGCCUCCACGAGCUAAUCGUGGAAAACCUAAGGUACAAUAUGAGCCUGAUAUGCAUGCCAAAUCCAAAUAUCCUAUCAACAAUUAUGUGUUUACUCAUCGUUUGUCCAAACCAUUUUCAUCUUACAUAUGUCAGCUAUCUAGUGUAUCAAUUCCAACAAAAUUGCACGAUGCCUUGUCUGACCCUAAGUGGGUUAAUGCCAUGAGAGUUGAGAUGGAAGCCUUGGAAAAGAAUUCUACUUGGGAUUUGGUUCAUUUACCAAAUGGGAAGAAAGCUGUUGGAUGUAGAUAGGUGUUCACUAUUAAGCACAAAGCAGAUGGUUCUAUUGACCGGUAUAAAGCCAUAUUAGUUGCUAAGGAUUAUACUCAAACCUAUAGGGUGGACUAUCAGGAGAUUUUUGUUCUUGUUGCCAAACUUAAUACUGUGUGUGUUCUUCUGUCCUUAGUAGCAAACCAGGAUUGGCCUCUGUUGCAGUUUGAUGUUAAGAAUGAUUUCCUUCAUGGUGAUCUCAAGGAGGAAAUUUAUAUGGAUCUCCCACUUAGUAUUAGAACAUCUCCUGAAAAAUGUGUUGUAUGCAAGUUGCAAAAAGCUUUGUAUAGUUUGAAACAAUCUCUUAGAGUGUGGUUUUGGAGGUUUACAAGUUCAAUGAAGAAGUUUGGGUAUGUCCAGAGUCAUUCAAAUCAUACUUUGUUUCUAAAUUGUUUCUAAAGCCACAAAAUGGUAAGCUAACUGCAUUGAUUAUUUAUGUUGAUGACAUGUUAGUGACUAGUGAUGAUCAAAAGGAGAUACAACGCCUUAAAAAAGUACCUAGCUAGUGAAUUUGAGAUGAAAGAAUUGGGUGAAUUGAAGUAUUUUCUUGGAAUCGAGGUUGCACAAUCCAAGCAUGGUAUUUUUCUGUCUCAACAGAAGUAUGUUCUUGAUUUGUUAGUUGAAACAAAUCUGUUAGAUUGCAAACUUAUUGAUACUCUGAUUGAGCAAAAUCAUCAUCUGGGCUUAUUUCCGAAUCAAGUUCCUACUCAUAAGGAACGGUAUCAGAGGCUUGUGGGGAAAUUAAUUUAUUUGUCUCACACUUGCCCUGACAUUGCUUAUGCAGUUAGUGUAGUAAGUCAGUUUAUGCACUCACCUAGUGAAGCUCAUAUGGAUGAAAUAGUCCGUAUUUUGAGGUGCUUGAAGAUGGCUCCUGGCAGAGGCUUGGUUUUCUCCAAGAAUGGUCAUUUGAAUGUCGAAGGGUAUACAGAUGCAGAUUGGACAAGUUCUAUCACUGAUUGGCGGGUGGUAAUCUAGUUACUUGGAGAAGUAGAAACAAAAAAUGGUGGCUAGGUCAAGUGCUGAAGCUGAGUUUCGUGGUAUGUCUCAUGGUGUAUGUGAGUUGUUGUGGUUAAAAAAAUUGUUGAGAGAUCUUGGAUUUAAACCCAAUGGUGCUAUGAAACUCCAUUGUGAUAACAAGGCUGCUAUUGAGAUUGCUCAUAAUCCAGUGCAACAUAAUCAAACAAAACAUGUGGAGAUUGAUCAACAUUUCAUCAAGGAAAAUUUGGAUGCUGGAAUUAUUAUGUUUCCGUUUGUGAGAUCUGAAGAUCAACUCGCUGAUGUACUUACUAAGACUGUGUCUAAUAGUGUGUUUUCCAACUCGCUUGACAAGUUGGGCAUGCAUGACAUCUUUGCUCCAACUUGAGGGGGAAUUUUACGAGUUAUAUAUAGUUAAAGUGUAAAUAGUAGUCUGUUGUCCUACAUUGAUGAAGUACAUAUGUAAUACUAAUUGUAACUCCUAUAUAUACUCCACUUUGGAGAUUAAUAAAUAUAUAAGAAAUUCCCAAAUAUUGUCAUAUAAAUUUUUGGUAUUUAUCAUGUUUAGUUUAAUAGUCUAAACAUCAGGAAAUACACCAACCCUAAACCUAAUGGAUUUUAUGAAGCCGCUGGUUUGGGUACACAUUAAUCUAACCUAAUUGCUCUACCACAUUCUAAACACAAAAUUUGUUAUAAAUAGGAUGAUUAAAUUUAUUUUCUCAAGCGGUAGAGUAGUGAACCUCACAGCGACGACAAUCUUCCACCCCCAAAUUCGGGUUUUUUUGUACUAAAAUGGUCUUUUAUGUAUAAGAACUUUACGAUAAGUUUAUUAAAAUUGGCUCUGUAUCUACGAAAUCUCAACAUCCAUACGUUACAAAAUGGAUUAGAACUCCUAGGAAAUAAAAUAGAACAUAUGAUGAUCCCUUUAAAGGGCCUUAUAAUGGGGAAGACUUCUCACAGAAUAUAAGAAGACGAAGAGGAAAACUAAAAACUUAGAACUUCAAGGAGAUGGACUGGAGCAGGGAGAAUGGCAAAGAACCGGAACCCAGAAGACCCGCAACGAAAAAGAAAACACUGUACUUUUUUUAGACAUUUUUUCACAUUUCUUCUCGGCCUUACAGCCAAGUAGCAUUUUCCGACCCCAAAUAAAGAUAGAAGGAAAAAACCAAAUUAAGGUAAAUAAAUUUUCUAUAGCAACUUGGCAAACAAAAACAUACUAGAAGAAAACAAGGAAAAUACAAAGAAAUUAAGGAAGUAUGGGAAACAAAAUAAAUUUAAUACGGGACCAACGACAACGGUGCAAAUGUAUAUUGUUCAGGAAAUAAACUUUUAGCGAAAAUGUGCUGCAAAAUUGACCAAUUUUGCUUCAUAUUCACACUCAAUUUUUUUAAGAAUUAAUAUCUGUAGAGUUUAGACCAAAAAUAAAAUAAAAAACAAAACCAAAAUGCUACUCCACUUUCUUGGUACUUAACUCAGCUCUCCACCUCCUUCCAAUCUUACAAGCUUCUAGAUUUAGAUUUGUCUCAAAUCACAUGCCAACUAACCUGCCCAGCUCAAUUUUAUUUUUUCUUUGGAAAUUCCAGUGCGUCUCUACUUUUGUUUUUCUAAAUCUUACUUACUCCCAUUAUAAUUGGAAUUUUAUAUAUUUAUAUGGAUGCUUUGUCAAGAUAUGAGAGAAAUAGUAGUGAUUCAAAAAGAUGAUUAGGAGCCAAAAAUAUUUAUUAUUUUAGAUUGGUGUUUAUGUUUUUGAACAGUUAAAAACUUUUUUGGUCAUUGUGUUUAUGUUUAAAAUUUAUUUUGGUCACUGUAUUUUAUUUUCUGCUAAUUUAGUUACUGUGUUAUCACAAGUUAGCAAUCUUAGUCCUUCUCAAUCAAACGUUAAAAAAAACGCACAUGACAUGCAAGUGCAGGGGUAACUAUGUAAGUGAAAAUAUAUCUUUGCCCCUGCACGAAACUGUCACGUGCAUUUUUUUGGCGGUUGACUUAUGGUAACGCAGUGACCAAUUUGGCAGAAAAUAAAACACAAUGACCAAAAUAAAUUUUAGAAAUACACACAGCGACCAAAAACGUUUUAAUUUAACCCAUUUUUAACAGUCCAGCCAGCUACCAUGAAAGCUACAACAUGAAAGCUGACUGUCAAAAUUUUGUUUAAAAAUUCAUACACAAUAAUCGUCAUAAGAACGUGCAAUAGGUACUUUGAAUUCUUAAAUAUACUGCAUGGUUACCCUUUCCUUUUGUUUUAUACAGAGAAAUCUUGACAGGCAGUCAAAAGCAAAAUUAUGUUCUUCUAGUGAUAUCUGUGUGCUAAAAAGGAAGUACGUAGCUACGUUCAGUCUUCACCUAACACUCCUAUUUGCACCUAAAAGAUGUGGAUAACAAAGAUUUUGACCAAAAUCACAUUGACAAGUACUUGCCAAAGGAUCACGGAACCUAUGAUUGUAAAAGAUAUACGUGUUGGGCCUGACCGACGUUAAUUAGUUGUUCAUAUUGAUUUGAGAAAUUUGAUUGAAUGAGGAUUAACAAAUCACAAUUGCUAAAAUAUUAAAAUGUAUUAACUGCGACAUAUUGGUUAAAUAAUUAUUGCACAUCGAAAAAAUAUUGACGAGUAAUUAUGAAUUUUUAUUUUCAUUAUUUCAAACAUUUUUAUAUUAGAAAAGCUAAAGAAAAUGAUUUAAAAACUUUGAAUUUUAAUGAUACGUACAAAAUGAAAGGUAAAAUAAAUAGUACCAGAAUUAACUUUUUGUUUAAAUUUUAUUUUCUAUUUGGCAUCAACUUUUGGUUUAAAUAUACUAUAUAACCCUCACAAAAGAAAAAGCAUGGUGUACUAGUAGCUAAAAGACAUAAAAAAGGUUAAUCUUAAUUUAUUAUUCUAAAGUUUCUUAGUUUUCAAUAUUUGGUAUAUAAAGUUUUUUUUAUUCUAGAGUUGUACAUAAAGUUAUAAUUUUGGGAUACUUUCAUACAUCCAUUAAGGUUGCUGUUAAAUUUAUCAUUAACUGAUGAUAUGACAUUUAUGUUGACAAUGACACGUAGAUAUUAAAAAUUAAAAAUUAAAUUAAUAAAAUAAUAAAAAUUAAAAAAAAAAAAAAAUUGGGCGUCUUCACCCUCACCCCUUCUGACCCCCCUCCCUUCUCUCCUCUGCACCCACGCUUCCCCCUCCCUCUUCGACUCCACCCAACGCUGCACUCCGAGGAUUGUUGCCAUCCUUUCAAGCCCAAUUUCGCCCCCAAAUAGGCCCGGGCAGUACUUGGCCAUAAACUUCAAGUCGUAGACCCUCUCGAACAAACGACCUGCCAUCUUUGCGAACUCAGUGGGGGAGCUGAGGAUGGUCUUCCUCGUCACCAGCUUCAUUACAUAGGCCGAGUCGUAGAGGCCGUGGAAGCUCACCCAUACGAGCUGCCCCCUGUGCACCCUUAAAAUCUCAACGAAACCCUCCACAAAAAUAUCCGAAUCAAUGCCGAACUUCCCAAAUUUCUCGAGAUCCAAGCCAUUCGCUUUGAGGAGGGCAAUGGAUUCUGGAACAUGGGGGUCGGUUUCCUCGUCAAAACCCCGAAAGUUGAACUCCCAGGUGCCGCCGACGUUGCCGCGGUCGUCGAACAGGGUGAUACCCACUUGGAUGAGAUUGAGAGAAUCGACAUUAAGGGCGAUAUCUUGGUAACGGAGGCCCUUGGAAGUGCCUCUGGGGGUGUUGCGGAGGAACCCCGGAAAUUCGGUGUCGAACGAGACGAUCGGAAAACGGCAGAGACACCGAUCGACGGAGGGAAGGGGAAAGGUGGGUGCAAAGGAGAGAACGGGAGUGGGGUCGGAAGGGGUGAGGAAGAAGAUGCCCAAAUUUUUUUAUUUAUUUAAUUUUUUUAGUUUUUAUUAUUUUAUUUUUUAAUAUGCACGUGUCAUCAUGUCAUUGUCCACGUGGAUAACACAUCAUUAGUUAACAGUAAAUUUAAAGGCAACCUUAAUGAAUGUAUAAAAUUGUUCCAAAAUUAUAACUUUAUGUACCACUCUGAGAUGAAAAAAACUUUAUUUACCAAAUAUUGAAAACAAAAAAACUUUAAGAUAAUAAACUAAUAUUAAUCCUAAAAAACUACUAAAGGAAAGGGUGAAAGAAAAAAUUAUUAGUUUGUGCUGUUCUCAUGGUAAUAGUGGUUUUUGUAUUGUACGAUCAUGUGUUACAUUUUAUGCAUUAUUAUGUGGAUGAAUGAAUAAGUUAAUUACAUCGCAUGUCAUAGGGUGAAUAUUACAUUAAAAAAUUCUUCAUUCUUGUUAUUCGUCAAAUUAAUGGUUGUGCAUUUGUAUGAGGACCUAGAUCUGUUGAGGAUGCAGAUCUUCACUCGUUGAAGGCCAUCCCUAUCUAUCUACUACUACUCUUUGGAAAAUAAUUGACUACAGAUGAUUGUACAAAAAAAUAAUUAAUAUUAUCUGAACAGCUCACCAUGCAUGUUCAGUAAAGUAAAGCGGAUUUGUUUAUUCAUUGUCUAGUUCAAACUUGGGGAGCAUUUUCUCAUUCUUGCGGUGAUCAGAAUAAUGUGAUUUAAGUCCAGUUAAACAUGCUUAAUUAUGCAUUUAAGCAUCUUUUAUUUAUUUGCUUUCAUUAUUUUUUCCUUCUUAAUGUGUUGUUAUUGUUUGGAACAACAAGUAAGACAAAUCUAGCCAGUUAGCAUUCACCGCAUCACCGCAUAAUGAAAGAUUAUUCAUAUUUGGAAAUGAAUAAUUAAUUAAAAAACUGUAUUAUUAAGGCAAAUGGGCACUUAAUAUUUGUAUCUUAAACCUUCCGAGUCGGAUAUUCGAGUAAAUUAGUUAAAAAGCUAUGCAAAAUGUGAAUGUGACAGACUACGUAGUAAAGUUUGGGUUAAGAGAGAGAGAGAGAGAGAGAGAGAGUAUUUCGCAGCCGGCUGGUCCCUAUGUACGGGAAGAAUCAUAGAAAGUUAGGUAACUACACACAUUUUUCAAAGAUGUCGAUCAUGAAAAAUAUUUGAUAACAAAUUCAGGGAGGACAUACUGCUUAAAUUAUUAACCUAGAAAUAAAGUUCGAUCUCUUGCUUUAACUUUUCUGCUACGUAGCUCUUAUUGCAUUAAACAAAGCCUUAUUAAAGUAAAGAUGGUCACACCCUUAGCCCUUUAGGUGAUACGUUCAGGGAAAUGGUUAAUGUUUUUACAAGCUCUUGUUUAUUUUUAUUUUUUAAUAUUUUCAGAUAUUUUUACAAUCUUUUACUGCGCAGUAAUAGAGUGUAAAAAUCAUAUCUAUGUAUUUAUUUAUUAUUAACUAUGUUUACAAUGAACCUUCUAUUCCAUGAAACAAGAUAUAAAAAUAAAAAUAAAAAGGAGAAGGGCAUAAAUUAACAAAAUUCGGUCAAAGGCCGCAUUGGUCCAAACAUUAAUUGAUAAUCUAUGACAAAUAGUCUGGCCCCAUUAGCAUUAUUUUAACAGUAAUAUUGUUUUUUUACUAAGAUAAUUAAUAAUUGCCAAGUGAAAAUUUGGCAUGAGUACCAUUGUGAAGGGUAAAAACCAAAGCUAUAUAAAGGGUGAGGAGGCUUAGCUUCAGAGGCAGACAACCAAAAACCCAUUCUUAACGAAGGAUGGGAAAAAUGGUGCCUUCACAAGUGACCUCUCUUGUGGUCACUCUCCUAGUGGCAAUAGUCUCUCUCACAUUGCCUUCAGAAACUUCAGCUAACUACCCUUACACCUCUCCACCACCACCGGCCUCUCCUCCCUACCAUUACAAGUCACCACCGCCUCCUUCUCCUUCUCCUCCAGUGCACUACUCACCACCUAAGCAUCCCUACCACCCUAAGUCACCACCACCUCCUGUGUACGCACCACCUAAGCAUCCCUACCACCCUAAGUCACCACCACCUCCUGUGUACCCACCACCUAAGCAUCCCUACCACCCCAAGUCACCACCACCAUCACCAAAGCCUUACCACUACAAAUCCCCACCACCACCUCCUGCUCCAGUGCACUCACCACCCCCACCUAAGGAGCCAUACCACUACAAGUCCCCACCACCACCACCCAAGAAGCCCUACCACUACAAAUCUCCCCCACCACCUCCUCCUCCAGUUCACUCACCACCACCACCCAAGGAGCCUUACCACUACAAAUCUCCACCACCACCACCCAAGAAACCUUACUAUUACAAGUCUCCUCCACCACCACCAAAGAAGCCUUACCACUACAUGUCUCCUCCCCCACCGGUGUACUCACCACCUCCACCAGUGCACUCACACCCACCACCAAAAAAGCCUUACCAUUACAAAUCUCCUCCCCCGCCAGAAUAUUCACCAGCUCCACCAGUGCACUCAACCCCACCACCAAAGAAGCCCUACCAUUACAAAUCCCCACCACCACCACCACCACACAAGAAGCCUUAUUACCCUGUUCACUCACCACCUCCACCUAAGAAGCCUUACCACUACAAAUCCCCACCACCACCUUCUCCUACUCCUCCUAAAUACUCACCACCUAAGCACCCCUACCACUACAAGUCUCCACCACCACCACCAAAGAAGCCUUACCAUUACAAGUCCCCACCACCUCCUUCUCCUACUCCCCCUAAAUACUCACCACCUAAGCACCCCUACCACUACAAGUCACCACCACCACCACCCCAAGAAGCCUUACCACUACAAGUCUCCACCACCACCACCUCCUCCAGUUCCCACACCAUCUCCACCCAAGAAACCUUACCACUACAAGUCUCCCCCACCACCCCCUCCAGUCUACAAGUCUCCUCCACCACCAGUUUACUCACCACCACCACCACCUAAGAAACCUUACAAGCCACCAACUCCUCCAGCAGUUCACCCACCACACGGUUACAUCUAUUCCUCACCCCCACCUCCUCACCACUACUAGAUAUUGAAAGUUUAAUUGCAUCAAGCUGGUAAGCUUCUCCAUUCUAUGCUAUUAUUCAUUAAUUAGUUAGUACUACUGUUGUCAAUUUGGAAAUCACCAUACAACCAAAUGCACACUCUGACGAAAUAACAUAUAAAUUCUAAUUGAAUAGUCUUUAUUUCCAUUUUUGGCUAAUAAUCCUUAUUAGCAUAUGGAUAAUGUAUUUCCAACAUAUCGUUAUUAACUUAUUACUCAAUUAAUAUUUCUUUUUCUUUAAAUUCAGUAGCCGUGUGUAACAAAUAGACCAAUGGCAGAGACCCAACAAAUAACAAUAAUAUGUCUUUGC
rnacentral:lncRNA from 1 species